GGAUUGUGCCUGAUAUUCAUAUGAAUAAUCUUUCAAUCAGUUUAAUUGAAGUCUGGAGCUGGCAUGUCAGCUAACUGCUAGUAGUCUGUUGUUAUUUAUGUAUUAUUGUCAUUUUGUUUAUUUUCUUUUGUAACAUCUUCUGACAUCAGACUCUGACUUCUCUUGAACUGAAUUUUAAUGUGCGUAUUGUUAUGCAAUUACUUUUCUACAUUGUCUAAAGGUAUAGGGGGAGGGUUGAGAUCUCAUAAACAUGUUUAACCCCUCCGCAUUUUUGCGCCUGUCCCAACCCAGGAUCCUCUGGCCUUUGUUAGUCUUGUAUUAUUUUAAAUUUUAGUUUCUUGUGUUUAAUUUGGAGUUUGGUAUGGCGUUCAUUAUCACUGAACUAGUAUGUAAUUUUAAACAAAUUAAGUCAUGUCGAAAGCCUUCAAUUUUUUUGGAAAAUUAAGUGUUCACCCCCAAAACCGGUUUGGCCACAACAUAAAAAUUUGAAGUUUAUUUACAAUUUUCACAGUGUGUAUAUGUUAAGUAUGUUUAAAUGAACAUAUGUUCCCAUAGUUUUUGACUUUAUUCAUUAUAGGUUGAAAAAUACAGACACAGUUUAGAUGUUUAUGAAGUGUCCUAUAUUUUGACUUUAGUGGAACCUUAAUCCGCCUCUGGGUAGAACUGGUGUUUACAGAGUAGGGCAUAUAGAAAAAGAAAUUAAAGAGGUGAUUUAAUAUAAAGAAUAGAUUGAAAUGGUCCAACAUCAAAUUAAAAAUAUAGAUGUUUACCUGGUACCCCCUCCCCAACACACGACUCUAAUAUAUAGUACACACCCAACACAUAGAUAAUAUUGGUUUGAUUGUGCCUCCCCCUUUCCUCAGACAUUCAGGUUCUGGGUUCAACUUUGAUUUACGGACCGAUAAAGUAAAAUCAUCUUUGUCGGUACUAACAUUAUUUAAUUUCCAGUUAUUUUCAAACAUUCUAUCGAUGAAUACUUGCAUUUCAAAUGGUACUGCAAGAGGUCCCAUGACAAGCUGUGCUGCUUCAACAAAAAACUUUUUUUAAUUAUUCUUAAAAAUAUAAUUUGGCUUCAAAGUUGAUCUGAUCAUAAUUAUCACGUUUUGACUUUGUUUCUAAAUUGCAACCGUUUAUUCUAUAGUUGAAUAUUAGAAAUAGUGUGACUUAUAGUCCACUUUUUGUAAUCCAUGAAUAUAUGAUUUCAGGAAGGAUUUGUCAGUAUGGUACUACAAUUAAAUCCUUGAUUGCAGUGAUAUUUUUUUAUUCAGUCAGCAAAUUAUUAACAGUAAUGGAG
rnacentral:lncRNA from 1 species